rnacentral:misc_RNA from 1 species
AAAAAAAAAAUUAUGACAAUAAUUACAAUUUAAUCAAUUCUAGGAAACUAAAGGUUGUAGUUAUAAAUUGAACUAUAGAAUAAAUUUAUAAAAUCAUGUACUUAAAUCCUUCUAAUAAAAAAAAAUUAUGAUAAUAGGUACAAUUUAAUUAAUAUCAAGAAAACUAAAAGUCAUAAUUAUAAACUACAUAAACUAAUAUCAAAUAUCAAAA